rnacentral:rRNA from 1 species
UACGUAGGGUGCGAGCGUUAAUCGGAAUUACUGGGCGUAAAGCGUGUGCAGGCGGUUUUGUAAGCCAGAUGUGAAAUCCCCGGGCUUAACCUGGGAAUGGCAUUUGGGACUGCAAGGCUCGAGUGCGGCAGAGGAGACUGGAAUUCCUGGUGUAGCAGUGAAAUGCGUAGAUAUCAGGAGGAACACCAAUUGCGAAGGCAGCUGGCUACACGAAUAUUGACACUGAUGCACGAAAGCGUGGGGAUCAAACAGG